rnacentral:snoRNA from 1 species
AAACUGAUGAUAUUAAUUGGUCCGUGUUUAUGAAUUUUACGUUGAUUAACAAUUCUUCCAAUUACUGAAAAAA